rnacentral:rRNA from 1 species
GAGACCCACGCCAACAGUUGCCAGCACGUUCUCCGGAAUGGUGGGGACACUGUUGGGACCGCCUCUGCUAAAGAGGAGGAAGGAAUGGGCAACGGUAGGUCAGCAUGCCCCGAAUUACCCGGGCUACACGCGGGCUACAAUGGACAGGACAAUGGGAAUCGACACCGAGAGGUGAAGGCAAUCCCCUAAACCUGCCCUUAGUUCGGAUUGUGGGCUGCAACUCGCCCACAUGAACGUGGAAUCCCUAGUAAUCGUGUGUCAACAUCGCACGGUGAAUAC